rnacentral:rRNA from 1 species
GAUGAACGCUAGCGGCAGGCCUAAUACAUGCAAGUCGAGCGGUAGAGUGACUUCGGUUGCUUGAGAGCGGCGCACGGGUGAGUAACGCGUACAUGACCUACCUUUAAGACUGGGAUAGCCCUGGGAAACUGGGAUUAAUACCGGAUGUGAUAAUACGUAUAGAGAUGUAUUAUUAAAGUUGAGGCGCUUAGAGAUGGAUGUGCGUCUGAUUAGCUAGUUGGUAGGUAACGGCCUACCAAGGCGACGAUCAGUAGGGGCUGAGAGCGUGGCCCCCCACACGGGUACUGAGACACGGACCCGACUCCUACGGGAGGCAGCAGUAAGGAAUAUUGGUCAAUGGACGGAAGUCUGAACCAGCC